CACCCCAGCAGAAGAUCCCUGGCAACCGCACAGGGGUUCGGAGCUGACCGGGCAGCCCGAGCGGAGGGGAGUGUUAGGGGGAGGUUCUUGAGCAGAGGAGGGAUGAGACCUGACUCGGGUGUUCAGAGGCACCCUGUGGUCACUGUGGGGGAACAGCGUGAAGGUCAAGAGCAGUAGCCAGACACCAGGAAGGAGGGGACUGGCUGAUCCAGGUGAUAGAUGCUGGCAGCUGCUGGACCCCAGGACAUUGCCAGAGAGGCACCAGAGAGGUGGUGAAGGGUCCUGGCUCCAGGCAGGAUCAGGACUGGGGCAAGGCAGGCGAGGCACUGGACUGGCCUGGCAAGACGUAAGAGGAGGCCAACAAUAUCAGUGACUCAGAUAGGUGCCACUGUUGUGUGACAUUUCAAAACCCCAGCUUUCCUGCAACAGUAUCCAUAAUGAUCAACUUUUAAAAAUGACGGCAGGGACUGGGAAUGUAGCCCGGUGGCAGAGUGCUCGCCUAGCACGCAGGCAAGGCCCUGAGAUCCAUCCCUGGUGAAGAGACAGACUCACUGACAAGGCCAUGAUGGAGCCAGAGUGUGAAGAAAAGUCACCCAGACCGAAGCCAUUUGUUUUAAAUGGAAGAUUUUGAUAUGUUGUU